GACGAACGCUGGCGGCGUGCUUAACACAUGCAAGUCGAACGAGAGCGUAGAGAAAGCUUGCUUUUUCUACAAUCUAGUGGCAAACGGGUGAGUAACGCGUAAACAACCUGCCCUACGGAUGGGGACAACAGCUGGAAACGGCUGCUAAUACCGAAUACGUUCCGAAAGUCGCAUGACUAUCGGAAGAAAGGAUGGCCUCUAUUUAUAAGCUAUCGCCGGAGGAGGGGUUUGCGUCUGAUUAGCUAGUUGGUGGGGUAACGGCCCACCAAGGCGACGAUCAGUAGCCGGUCUGAGAGGAUGAACGGCCACAGUGGAACUGAGACACGGUCCAGACGCCUACGGGAGGCAGCAGUGGGGAAUCUUCCGCAAUGGGCGAAAGCCUGACGGAGCAACGCCGCGUGAGUGAAGACGGCCUUCGGGUUGUAAAGCUCUGUUAUACGGGACGAAUAAUCUUGUGGUUAAUACCCAUGAGAAGUGACGGUACCGUAAGAGAAAGCCACGGCUAACUACGUG
rnacentral:rRNA from 1 species